rnacentral:rRNA from 1 species
GACGAACGCUGGCGGCGUGCCUAAUACAUGCAAGUUGAGCGCUGAAGGUUGGUACUUGUACCAACUGGAUGAGCAGCGAACGGGUGAGUAACGCGUGGGGAAUCUGCCUUUGAGCGGGGGACAACAUUUGGAAACGAAUGCUAAUACCGCAUAAAAACUUUAAACACAAGUUUUAAGUUUGAAAGAUGCAAUUGCAUCACUCAAAGAUGAUCCCGCGUUGUAUUAGCUAGUUGGUGAGGUAAAGGCUCACCAAGGCGAUGAUACAUAGCCGACCUGAGAGGGUGAUCGGCCACAUUGGGACUGAGACACGGCCCAAGCUCCUACGGGAGGCAGCAGUAGGGAAUCUUCGGCAAUAGACGAAAGUCUGACCGAGCAACGCCGCGUGAGGGAAGAAGGUUGUCGGAUCGUAAAACUCUGUUGGUAGAGAAGAACGUUGGUGAGAGUGGAAAGCUCAUCAAGUGACGGUAACUACCCAGAAAGGGACGGCUAACUACGUG